rnacentral:rRNA from 1 species
GACGAACGCUGGCGGCGUGCUUAACACAUGCAAGUCGAACGGAGUGGCGAACGGGUGAGUAUUACGUGAGUAACCUGCCCUCAACUGUGGGAUACGCCUGGGAAACUGGGUCUAAUACUGCAUAGUUGGGGAUGGGCUCGCGGCCUAUCAGUUUGUUGGUGGGGUGAUGGCCUUCAAAGGCGGUGACGGGUAGCCGGCCGGAGAGGGUGGUCGGGAAGAUGGGGACUGGGAUGCGGCCCAGAGACCGACCGGAGGCGGCAGUGGGGGAUAUGGAAAAAUGGGCGCAAGCCAGAGGCAGCGAGGCCGCGUGAGGGAUGAAGGCUUACGGGUUGUAAACCUCUUUCGGUACAGAACGGGUAUGUGCAGAAGAAGCGCCGGCUAACUACGUGCCAGCAGCCGAGGUAAUAC